UACAGCGAUUAUUUUCUAUAUCAAUCCAUAGGCUUUACCAAAUCCUUCGCAUUUCGUUUGAUUUUAAAAACGUUGAACGAAUAUAAAAUCCCUGCUGAGAACAUAUCAAAAGUCAUGGAGCAUGAGUUUUUAACCGUGACUGGAAAAUUCAGAGUUGAAUAUCCUGGUGUUCAAAGUCAACUGCGGCGCAAUAUCUCCAAGUUUUGAACAAAUUCCAGGCAUUGCUCAACAUGAAUUUGCUUGAUGAAAGUUCAAGUACUGGUAAUGGAACAGAGGAUAGAACAGCAGAACAAACUUUUGAGUGAAAAUCGAAAAAGAGCCU